GUUCCUUCGAGCGACAAAGUCCAUGCGACGCAGCUCGUGCUUCUUCCUCUUUCCUUCCCCAUUUUCUACUCCUGGCGGCGGUUGCCUUCUCACCACCCGAAACUAAAAUCCCCAAAAAUCGUGAACCCCUCGCCCUAGGCCCUAAAUCCUACCCGAAAACUCUGAGGUCGCUUGCCAAUUUGAUCUGCCUCACCGUCGCUCGCCCGUCCGUCGAUCGACCCGACCCACUCUUCAACUCUGCUGCCUCCCUAUCCACCUCACCAUCUCCGCCUUCACCCGAAGCUGUUGGUGGUAGUGGUGCCUCCGACAAUGGGGAUAUGACAUGGUAGGAGAGAGGGUGUGUCCCACCGCUCAAGGGUGCGGGGACACCGUCGGUCUCUGUCACGCCGCCGCAGUGGCGACACACCGUGCUGGCGAUGUUGGUAGGACCGUAGGAGGAGGGCCUCGCCACUCGCGAGCGGGGUCGGUGGCCAACAACACAAGCACGGGGCUCUAAGUUUUACAGGAUCAUGCGCCAACACAAAGAUAUGCCGGUUUUGGGGAAGGAUACUCAUGGAGAUGAACUAUAUGCUUGCUUAUGGUUCAACUGAAGCUUCUUUGAGGUUGUUGUGGAGGUUUGUCCACCUUGAACAUUUGUUGCCCUUUUAGGUAAACCCAUGUCCAGGAAAAUAAACAUAUCUUGAUAUAUAUAAACCGUAGAGAAAAUAAACUUAUAUAUUUAUUCUCUUCGUGCUCUCUAUCCCACUCUGCAGAGCAGAAUGUUUCGUCAUUUUCACUAAAAACUAUAAUCAACUAAGCAUUUGUUUUUCUUAUGGAGUUAGUACUUUUCUCUAUGUUAUUCUUAUGUACUUCAUUUGCUAUUCUGGUCCUGUAGGGUUGUGUUAUUUUAUUUGAUAUGGAAACAUGGCUGAGUUGUGUGUUAUUUUAUCUUACUUUUGGUUAUCUGAAAGUUUAUGUAAAGGACAACCAUCUCAUUUAUUAGGAUUAAUAUAUUAUAGUUAAGUGAUAG